AGGGGAAUAGCUCAAUUUGGCUAGAGCGUCGGACUCCAAAUCCGAAAGUUGUAGGUUCAAGUCCUAUUUCCCCUG
rnacentral:tRNA from 1 species